UUUCUCCAUGUUGGCCAGGCUGGUCUCGAACUCCUGACCUCAGGUGAUCCACUUGCCUUAGCCUCCCAAAGUACUGAGAUUACAGACGUGAACCACAGUGCCUGGCCACACUGAAAUAUUUCAAGAUUAUUGUAAGAAUUAGGGAAAGAAGAGAAGAUUGGACAAAAUAAGGAAUAAAUAAAAGAGUGACAAGGAUAUCAGAAGGUAACAGCACCAAAGAACAGAGGGUGACCUUAGCCUCAAAGACACAUUACCAAGCAUGAAAGACAAAUGGUCUGAAAGCAGGGUUUGACACUUUGACCAAAUGCUUGAAAGCCUAAUUUGCAUUUCUUCUGCAGUUGUGUUUUUAAAUACCUGGGAAGUCAUUUGUUGAAUCAUGCAAAUGAAAUUAUUUUUCAAAUGCUGAACAGUUUUUCUGAGUUAAUCUCCUUCUAUUUUGUUUUUUUCCUAACUAUUGGUAACCAAGACAUCCAGCAUUUUAAAUACUGAGAAAGAACUUUUCAGGUCAUUUACUUUCGGGGCCAGAUAGCUUUUAAAUUUUUCCAUUUUGAAAAAGUAUUUAAAUCUAGAGUUUAGGGCUACAGAACCAAGAAGCUUUGUUGAUUCAGUCUGUAAGGGAACUGGGUUCCUUUGAGCUGAGGCAGUUUCUCCUGUCUUUGGAGGAGGACCUUCUCAAAAUCAAAACUCCCCACCACUGUCAGUCACCAGAAGGCCCAGGGUCAGUUGUGUAUUGGGAAGUUGCUUGAGGCCAGUUCCUUUCCUGGGCACCUAGGUUUUCUCUUUUCUGUUUUUGCUUGUGGGUGAGGGAGGCGAGGGUUAUUUUUGGAUGGUGGCUGGAGGCAAGACUGAGGCUGAGCCUUGUUAAGGUGGCUGGCUGCACAGAGAGGGAGACAAGAAGAGAACAGUGGUGUCAUGAGAAGGUCUGGGUCUUAGCUCACACUCAGAAGGGUUUUUUAGCAAUGCUGCUUGGUGUAAGUCCAAGAAUGGUGGCUAUCUGGAAGAAUGAGACAGUGUGUGUUCUUCUCAAAGGUAUUCAGAAGUCAAAAUUAUUUUAGAUCUGUGUUUGGUCUCACAAGACAUGUGGUGAAUUAAGCCCACCUGCUUCCAUUUGGCGCCCUGCCUUAGACUCCCUAAAGGCCCUCCAGCUCUGAUCUGUUAUGAUUUGGUAGUGCUUUAAAACUCAAACCAAAAGCUAGAAGC